CCAACUUCAGAAAAAGGAAAGAUUGAUCAAGUUAUCCACCAUGCUUUAUCAAAGAACAGGUAUAGGUCUUCGGAAUCAAACAUGUUAAACAGUGCCUAUAAGGAGGUACAGAUGACAUAUAAAAAUAUCACUCUAAAUGCAUAGGUCAAGUCAGACUGUAUUCUUUCUCUAGAACAUGAGCAAUCAAUCAGUACAACAUUAGUCAUCCAUUAGCACAGAACCAUUAACAAAUCCAGACCAAUCUCUAGAAGACUCAAGGUCUAGAAAACUGGUACUGGCAUUCAUUCAUUCAAUCAUUCAUUGGGCCCAAAAUGUCCAGAGUCUUCCCAAACAUUAUUGUCCAGCUUCUACAAACAAGCAGCCCUCACUAUCGUGGCAAAACAUCACUUAUAAAGCAACCAAUAUAGUUAGGAACAGUAAAUAAUUGCAGUUGAUAGUCCGUUUGACACUUUCAAGUUGGUCUUUCAUUUGCAAACACGGAACCUGUUCUCACCAGCAAAAGGUCUGUGGAUAAAUACUUCCAUUCCUAGCUGCAGUCUGCCUUCACAUUCAACCCCUCUGAUAAACUCUUCCAUACUUCUAGCAUUGAUACAACCUAAGUAAAAUGUUCAUUAAAAAAGUUAAACUAAUAAAUAUAUAAUUGUAAAACAUACUAAGACAGCUAGAGCUUAAACAUAAGGCUGACACAAAGUAUUAAGGACUUCAGAGUAACCGAUGGUUGAUUGUUGACAACAUCAGUAGCAGUGCACUUACUGUACUGUUAAAUGGAAAAUAACCAGCAUGGGACCUGUUAGUUAAUGACUUAGUCUUGGGAUGUGUUUGUCACAAGGAUUUUAGGCAUUUUCAAUCAAUGCACCCAUACCGAUUCAACACUAAUGUGCAAUAUUGUUUAUGGAUUGUAAUUCUUAAAGAAAAAACAAAAAAAAAAAAACAGCCCAUGACUUGACUAAAGUAAAAUGUCAGUAUGUUAAACCUAAGGGACCCUCAAGAAAAUGUCUGACAAGCUUACAUGUUAUGUAGGUUACAUGUUUAAACAUUCUCUGUGGAACAAUAUGAAUGUAUUUCUAAAAAUACACUAUAUAUCUGAACCAACCGCUUAGACAGAAUGGAUCGAGAAAAUUGUACUGGAAGCUUUCAAACGUAACCUCUAUAUUUCAAAAUGUAUUAAAUUG
ensembl:lncRNA